rnacentral:lncRNA from 1 species
GCACACCCUCAUGCCGCGCGGCGAACGUUCGUUGCCAGGUGCGGCAGCCCGCCCUGGGCGCCUCCUGCCUGCGGAAGAAGAGCAGGACAGACCCGACCCGACCCGCCUAGUCCUUUCCUUCACAGCAGCCUCCAAACUCCACCGCUCGCCUCUUCCGCCAGGCUCCUAGGAUGAGGCCCAGGGCUCCUGGAGCAGCCAGGUGCAAACCAGACCGGGCUCGCACUCCACUGCGUUGCCCUGGGCGAUCGUCCACGUUCUGGGAGACUCGGUAUGCCCCGGGAGGGUGGCCUGAGCUUGUGGUGUGAAGCCAGGUACAGAGCUCCAGAAUCCUGGCCUUGCCAUGGCUGUGUGACCCUGGGCAAGUGACUCAAUUUCUCUGCCUCAGUGUCCUCAUCUAUAAAAUGGAAAGGAAAAUAGUAGCGCUUGUCUCCUCCGGCUGUUAUGAAGAUCCAAGGUUAACAGCGUAGAGAACUCGGAACGCACCCGGCAUCUAGGAAGUGCCAAGCCAGUGUCAGCUAAUGUGACUAUUUUUAAAUGGAGAUGGGGAGUGUGCCAUUAUUCUUGUCCUUAUUUGAAUGAACGGGCCCUCAGGGACCAUUUUCCACUGCCCCGCCCUGGCAGCAUGAGAGGGAAACGCUGUGAGAACCCCGAACCCCAGCCUUCUCCUGUCCCUCUCUCUCUCUCUCUCUCUCUGCACCUGGGAGGCGGGGAGGAGAGAGCCGAUCCUUCCACCAUUUACACGGAGAAUGAAAGAAGAAAUACCGGCCAGGCGCGGUGGCUCAUGCCUGUAAUCCCAGCACUUUGGGAGGCCGAGGGGGCAGAUCACCUGAGGUCAGGAGUUCGAGACCAGCCUGGCCAACAUGGCGAAACUCCGUCUCUACUAAAAGUACAAAAAUUAGCCUGGCGUGGUGCCGGGUGCCUAUAAUCCCAGCUACUCAGGAGGCUGAGGCAGGAGAAUCCCUUGAACCCGGGAGGCGGAGGUUGCAGUGAGCCGAGAUCACGCCACUGCACUCCAGCCUGGGUGACAAGAAUGAGUCUCAAAAAAACAAAAAAGAAGAAGAAGAAGAAAUACCACACAGGUCCGACCAAGAGCUGCCCCCACUCAGGCCAGGAUCCCUGCCUGGAAGGGCUCUGCAGCCACUCUCCCUGUACAGCCCCAGGAUGCUAAGGAGCAUCCCGAAGUGACACUGGCUCUCCCUGGAGGCCCCUGCCAUCGGACUCCAACCUGACCUUCCAGUGGGUGCUCCUCAUACUGGCUCCAGCCAAGACAGACGAGGACCACUGGGCACAUGCCCUUCCUUGCCUUCCUGUCACCCUUCCCACCCUUCUCUGCGGGCCCCGGGUGGCCCCUUCCUCCAGGAAGCACCUGGGGAUCAGCAGUGCCUCUAGGGUCCCAGUGGCCCACGUGACAUCUGCUUCUGGCCACCUGAGCACUCUCCUUUGAGUUCAGGGUCACUGUACCCUUUUAUAGAAAUUCGCCGGGUAUGGUGGUGCAUGCCUAUGGUCCCAGCUACUCAGGAGGCUGAGGCAGGAGGAUCACUUGAGCCCGGGAGGUGAAGGCUGCGGUAAGCUAUGACUACACCACUGCACUCCAGCCUAGGUGCGAGAGCAAGACCCUGUCUCCAAACAACAACAACAACAACAAAAUCUGAAUGCCUGGUUUAUCUUGAAAUAUGGCAAAAUGGGGCCACCCAGGCCCAUUAACCCCCUGUCUACAAUGUCCUGGAGCUGAGGGGCAUUAGCCACCCUCUCACAUGGGCUCCCCAGGGUGCCACAGCUCCCUCCUAGCUAGUUUGCUCUUUUCUGUCACCUACCGGCCCUUGCAGGGAGCUGAAUUUGAGACCCAUGAUGCACUUUGUGCACCCUGCCCCCUCAAAGAUAACUGUGAGUACCAAGGGAAAUGGAAAGCUUUGGCAACAAGAAGGGAGCUUCAAGGAAAGCCAGGCCGAGGUUCCCCUCAGAACCAUAGACUAGCCUGAAAUUCCACUGGGACUAAUUCUUCUCAUUUCAAGAAUGAAAAUCGAUUGCUGGACAGAGCUCCCGGAGGGCCAAUUUUCAGGCUGUAGUCUACAGCCGUCCACGUAGAGGCAGUGAACGAAAUUUUUCAAAGCCUACUUUAUGAUUACUUUCUUUAGCAGCUCUCAACAGUAAAAUAAAAUUGAUCUAGGACUUUGAACAAAACUUCUCGCCCCUUUCUAGGGAAGAGUUUGUCUCGUCUAUCAGGCCACCAACAAGAGUUGUUGCAAUGCCUGUGGGAGGUGCAGCCCACGCUGGGCCACCUGGCCAGCUCAGGGAUCCUGCUGGAGAUCGAGGAUUGUCUGGUCGGCCUCUUACAACUCUCAGAACAUCAUCCCUGGGAGCAGCCCUGAAGAGACCAAGGGUCAGUGGCGGGGCUGCUGAGUGGCUGCCUCCCUGACCUGGCCAGCAUUUCCUGGGCACACUGCAGUGUGUCCACGUCCCUGGGUGUGCCUCAGCUCCAGUGUCUCAUCCCCAGAGACCUUCCCAGACCACCAUGUCUCAGACAGCCCCGGCUGCCUCCUGCCUGCCCUGCACCAGCCCUGAGCCAUCGCCUCAUUUUAUUCUCAUUCUAACUUGGAUAAUGGGAUCUGCCUCUUACCAACUGUGACCUUAGGCACAGGAUCAGCCCCAAAUUGAGCCUCAUUUUGUCCAUCUGUAAAAUGAGGAUGGCACUAGAGCCCCGUCUAGGGUGAAUGUGAAGGUCAGAGCCUGCACAAGUUGCUCAAUCAAGAAGAAGCUGCCAGGCACAGUGGCUUGUGCCUGUAACCCCAGAACUUUGAGAGGCUGAGCGGGGUGGAUCACCCAAAGUCAGGAGUUCAAGACCAGCCUGGCCAACAUGGUGAAAUGCCGUCUCUACUAAAAAUACAAAAAUUCGCUGGGUGUGGUGGUGGGUGCUUGUAAUCCUAGCUACUCAGGAGGCUGAGACAGGAGAAUCCCUUGAACCCAGAGGCAGAGGUUACAGUGAGCCGAGAUCGUGCCACUGCCCUCCAGCCUGGGCAACAAAGAGUGAAACUCUUGUCUAAAAAAAAAAAGAAGAAGAAGAAGGAGAAGGAGAAGGAGCGGGAGAAGGAGAAGAAGAAGAAGAAGAAGAAGCCUCAGUGAAGUGCUCCAGCAUCUUCACCCCCUUGGUCACUUGCUCAUCUCCUUGAUGAACAAAAGCGGCCCCAGAUCAGAGCCAUCGAGCACCUGCAGCCAGCAAGGUUGGCUGGUUUUCAUUGUGUGCAUUUUUAAGGCGUCUUCUAUUUAUAGAAAGGAUUGUGGUCUUGCAUUUGUAGCAGCGAUGAAAGCUUUACUUUUUGGCAAAAUGUGUGCAAGUUGUUUAGAAGUGAGUCUGUUUGAAAAAAAAAAUUAAAUGAAUAAUGAUUUAGGAGGUGAGUUUGUUUCCUAGGGCUGCUGUGAUGAAGUGCCA